GCCGUUCAGCCACAGCUCCCGCAGGCCGGUCAUCUCCCCGAACAGCACCUCCGGGAGCUCCUCCAGAGGGUUCUCGAACAGAGUCAGCCGAGUCACGCUGCUCGCGUGAAGGAAGAGCGCGGGCGGCAGAGACCCCAGGAGGUUUCGGGACAGAGUCAAGGAGUUCAGGUUUCCCAGGCGGUCGAAGGCACCCGGUGCGAUGGAGCGGAGGUGAUUCCGCUCCAGCCGCAGCUCUGUCAGGGCGCCCAGGUUGCUCAGCAGCCCCGAAUCCACAGACGUGAGCUGGUUUGAAUAGAGCAGCAGUUUCUCAAGCUUAACUUGAGCUCCAAGCAAUCCCUUGGGCAGGUUUUCUUUUGCCCUAUACAGACUGAGCCUCUAAUUGCCUACACUAAUUUAAGAAUAUUUGGCCUUACCUGAAGCCGUUCUGCACCCAGGACUGACUGGAAAGGCUUGCAGCUCUGCUGGUGACUUGGCACUUCACAGAGGAAGAGGGAGCAUUCUUGCAUCCUGACGAUAAAGACCUUACCAGAUAAAAAGUCAAGAAAAAGACUUAUCUCCACAGGGCAUAUUCUAGGUUUUAAUGACAAGAGUUUUCAAACUUUGAGAGUCCAUGGUUCCCAAGGACUCAUGCCAUCUGUCUUGGAGCUUUGGCUUCCGUCGUUGUCUGAGGCUUAGGCGGCCACUCAGGAUCGAAGCGGAGCUCCUGUGCUAGGAAGAAAUGCCUGGCACAACAAAGACAGCUGAAGCUACACACAUACAGUAACAGAACCAAGAAUGCAAGUGGAAAAACCAAGAUGUAAGUGAAGAAUUGACAGUAACUGCUCAUUUCCAACCUGUGGUGGCUGUGUGGUGCUGAAACGACACUCUCCUUGUUUGUCUCGAUUGAACACAACUUUCCAAAGGACCGUGUCAAGGAAGAAGCUCUGAGAGAUAUUCCAGUGAGUUAAGAAUUAAACUUAAACAGGUCAUUCCUUUUAAACACACACAUUUGAUAACAUUCACACAACGCUACAUCAUUAAUACUGAUUUGCUUUUCAUAUGGCAAACCUCAGUAUAUACUACAAAAGGAUAAAUAACAGAGCUUUUAUAAUAAAUACAAAAUCAUAAAAUUCUUGAUAAAAAAAGACUAAACUUUCUAAAAAUCAGGGUCGAUCUCCAGUUCUACCUUAGCGAUGGUGAUGAUUCACAGCAUUUUUUCUUAAAGAGUUAUUUUCACUUAAUCUCUAAUUAUUAAUUCCAUCUACAUAUUAUACAAACAUUUCAUCAGCGCCCAAUACAAAUAGUUCUUUAGUUAACAAGAAUAAAAAAUAACAUUUGAAAAGAUGAAUGUACACUGUAAGAAAGGGAGUGCUUAUGACAGAUAGUCUUAGAUGUGCUUUCUAGGACACUUGAACCGAAAAUGCAGCCUAUGAAACAACAUAAAAUGAUGCAUUACAAACAUCCAUGCUCCCAUAUGUCAAUUUAAAUCUAAGCCAUCUUUUGUUGGGACAAUUGAGUCUCAGGAUAAUUUCUCAAUAUACUGAAAUAUACACAUACUUUCAAAAGCUUCCACUAUAAAAACCUUUAAACAUCACCAUUCUAUCUGCCUUAUCUGUUUCUUACACUGGACUAAAGAGCAGCAGUCAGAACUUACUACUCUUUCUUCCUUAAGUGGUCCCCUCUACUCUCCCCUCAGAGCACAGGGCUCUGGGAGCUGCCUGGAUACCUGCGUCUCUUCCCACCCCACACCCAACUCAUUUGUGCCACCUCGUUGUGCCUGAAUGUAACUCCAUCAAAUCUUGAUGCAACUACAGAAAAGGCCAGGAAGCUAAAUGAAUUUCCCUGAAAUGAAAUGUGAGUGUGGGUUUCUGAAUAAUAAAUAGUAUUACCUGCUCUCUUACUA